rnacentral:rRNA from 2 species
UAAAUGAUUUCUUCGGAAUGAACUUAAGUGGAUUAGUGGCGGACGGGUGAGUAACGCGUGAGUAACCUGCCUUACACAAGGGGAUAGCCGUUGGAAACGACGAAUAAUACCCUAUGAAACUAUCACUUCGCAUGGAGCGAUAGUCAAAGUGUUAGCGGUAUAAGAUGGACUUGCGUCUGAUUAGCUAGUUGGUGAGAAAAAAGCCCACCAAGGCAACGAUCAGUAGCCGGCUUGAGAGAGUGUACGGCCACAUUGGGACUGAGACACGGCCCAGACUCCUACGGGAGGCAGCAGUGGGGAAUUUUGCACAAUGGGGGAAACCCUGAUGCAGCGACGCCGCGUGAUUUAGAAGGCCUUCGGGUUGUAAAAAUCUUUUGUAUAGGAAGAAAAUGACAGUACUAUACGAAUAAGGUCCGGCUAAUUACGUGCCAGCAGCCGCGGUAAUACGUAAGGACCGAGCGUUGUCCGGAAUCAUUGGGCGUAAAGGGUACGUAGGCGGGUCAUUAAGUUAGAAGUCAAAGGCUAUAGCUCAACUAUAGUAAGCUUCUAAAACUGGCGACCUUGAGUAAUGGAAGGGAAAGUGGAAUUCCUAGUGUAGCGGUGGAAUGCGCAGAUAUUAGGAGGAAUACCGGUGGCGAAGGCGAC